CUCUGUGACUCCUACGGGAGGCAGCAGUGGGGAAUAUUGCACAAUGGGGGAAACCCUGAUGCAGCCAUGCCGCGUGUGUGAAGAAGGCCUCGGGUUGUAAAGCACUUUCAGUAGGGAGGAAGGUAGUGUAGUUAACACCUGCACUAUUUGACGUUACCUACAGAAGAAGCACCGGCUAACUCCGUGCCAGCAGCCGCGGUAAUACGGAGGGUGCGAGCGUUAAUCGGAAUUACUGGGCGUAAAGCGCAUGCAGGCGGCCUGUUAAGUCAGAUGUGAAAGCCCGGGGCUUAACCUCGGAAUUGCAUUUGAAACUGGCAGGCUAGAGUCUUGUAGAGGGGGUAGAAUUUCAGGUGUAGCGGUGAAAUGCGUAGAGAUCUGAAGGGAUACCAGUGGCGAAGGCGGCCCCCUGGACAAAGACUGACGCUCAGAUGCGAAAGCGUGGGGAGCAAACAGGAUUAGAUACCCUGGUAG
rnacentral:rRNA from 1 species